rnacentral:rRNA from 1 species
GACGAACGCUGGCGGCGUGCCUAAUACAUGCAAGUAGAACGCUGAAGAGAGGAGCUUGCUCUUCUUGGAUGAGUUGCGAACGGGUGAGUAACGCGUAGGUAACCUGCCUGGUAGCGGGGGAUAACUAUUGGAAACGAUAGCUAAUACCGCAUAAAAUGGAUUAUCGCAUGAUAAUCCAUUGAAAGGUGCAAAUGCAUCACUACCAGAUGGACCUGCGUUGUAUUAGCUAGUUGGUGGGGUAACGGCUCACCAAGGCGACGAUACAUAGCCGACCUGAGAGGGUGAUCGGCCACACUGGGACUGAGACACGGCCCAGACUCCUACGGGAGGCAGCAGUAGGGAAUCUUCGGCAAUGGACGGAAGUCUGACCGAGCAACGCCGCGUGAGUGAAGAAGGUUGUCGGAUCGUAAAGCUCUGUUGUAAGAGAAGAACGAGUGUGAGAGUGGAAAGUUCACACUGUGACGGUAGCUGACCAGAAAGGGACGGCUAACUACGUG